GAUGAACGCUGGCGGCGUGCCUAAUACAUGCAAGUCGAGCGAACGGACGAGAAGCUUGCUUCUCUGAUGUUAGCGGCGGACGGGUGAGUAACACGUGGAUAACCUACCUAUAAGACUGGGAUAACUUCGGGAAACCGGAGCUAAUACCGGAUAAUAUUUUGAGCCGCAUGGUUCAAAAGUGAAAGACGGUCUUGCUGUCACUUAUAGAUGGAUCCGCGCUGCAUUAGCUAGUUGGUAAGGUAACGGCUUACCAAGGCAACGAUGCAUAGCCGACCUGAGAGGGUGAUCGGCCACACUGGAACUGAGACACGGUCCAGACUCCUACGGGAGGCAGCAGUAGGGAAUCUUCCGCAAUGGGCGAAAGCCUGACGGAGCAACGCCGCGUGAGUGAUGAAGGUCUUCGGAUCGUAAAACUCUGUUAUUAGGGAAGAACAUAUGUGUAAGUAACUGUGCACAUCUUGACGGUACCUAAUCAGAAAGCCACGGCUAACUACGUGCCAGCAGCCGCGGUAAUACGUAGGUGGCAAGCGUUAUCCGGAAUUAUUGGGCGUAAAGCGCGCGUAGCGGUUUUUUAGUCUGAUGUGAAAGCCCACGGCUCAACCGUGGAGGGUCAUUGGAAACUGGAAAACUUGAGUGCAGAAGAGGAAAGUGGAAUUCCAUGUGUAGCGGUGAAAUGCGCAGAGAUAUGGAGGAACACCAGUGGCGAAGGCGACUUUCUGGUCUGUAACUGACGCUGAUGUGCGAAAGCGUGGGGAUCAAACAGGAUUAGAUACCCUGGUAGUCCACGCCGUAAACGAUGAGUGCUAAGUGUUAGGGGGUUUCCGCCCCUUAGUGCUGCAGCUAACGCAUUAAGCACUCCGCCUGGGGAGUACGACCGCAAGGUUGAAACUCAAAGGAAUUGACGGGGACCCGCACAAGCGGUGGAGCAUGUGGUUUAAUUCGAAGCAACGCGAAGAACCUUACCAAAUCUUGACAUCCUUUGACAACUCUAGAGAUAGAGCCUUCCCCUUCGGGGGACAAAGUGACAGGUGGUGCAUGGUUGUCGUCAGCUCGUGUCGUGAGAUGUUGGGUUAAGUCCCGCAACGAGCGCAACCCUUAAGCUUAGUUGCCAUCAUUAAGUUGGGCACUCUAAGUUGACUGCCGGUGACAAACCGGAGGAAGGUGGGGAUGACGUCAAAUCAUCAUGCCCCUUAUGAUUUGGGCUACACACGUGCUACAAUGGACAAUACAAAGGGCAGCGAAACCGCGAGGUCAAGCAAAUCCCAUAAAGUUGUUCUCAGUUCGGAUUGUAGUCUGCAACUCGACUACAUGAAGCUGGAAUCGCUAGUAAUCGUAGACCAGCAUGCUACGGUGAAUACGUUCCCGGGUCU
rnacentral:rRNA from 1 species